UACGUAGGGUGCAAGCGUUGUCCGGAAUUACUGGGCUUAAAGGGUUUGUAGGCGGCCAUGUAAGUCAGGUGUGAAAUCCCUCGGCUCAACCGAGGAACGGCGCUUGAUACUGCAUGGCUUGAGGGAGACAGGGGUAAGCGGAACUGAUGGUGGAGCGGUGAAAUGCGUUGAUAUCAGCAGGAACACCGGUGGCGAAAGCGGCUUACUGGGUCUCUUCUGACGCUGAGGAACGAAAGCUAGGGUAGCGAACGGG
rnacentral:rRNA from 1 species